rnacentral:rRNA from 1 species
UACGUAGGGUCCGAGCGUUGUCCGGAAUUAUUGGGCGUAAAGGGCUCGUAGGCGGUUUGUUGCGUCGGGAGUGAAAACCAGGUGCUUAACACCUGGCCUGCUUUCGAUACGGGCAGACUAGAGGCAUUCAGGGGAGAACGGAAUUCCUGGUGUAGCAGUGAAAUGCGUAGAGAUCGGGAGGAACACCAGUGGCGAAGGCGGCCUUCUGGACCAAUACUGACGCUCAUGCACGAAAGCGUGGGGAGCAAACAGG